rnacentral:sRNA from 1 species
ACGCCUGCAAAAUCAGGCGUCAGGGUUGGUCCCCUGUUAUCCUCAUCCCUGAUAAAUAACGUUUUU